rnacentral:rRNA from 1 species
GUGGGGAAUAUUGGACAAUGGGGGGAACCCUGAUCCAGCCAUGCCGCGUGUGUGAAGAAGGCCUUUUGGUUGUAAAGCACUUUAAGCGAGGAGGAGGCUACCGAGAUUAAUACUCUUGGAUAGUGGACGUUACUCGCAGAAUAAGCACCGGCUAACUCUGUGCCAGCAGCCGCGGUAAUACAGAGGGUGCAAGCGUUAAUCGGAUUUACUGGGCGUAAAGCGCGCGUAGGUGGCCAAUUAAGUCAAAUGUGAAAUCCCCGAGCUUAACUUGGGAAUUGCAUUGGAUACUGGUUGGCUAGAGUAUGGGAGAGGAUGGUAGAAUUCCAGGUGUAGCGGUGAAAUGCGUAGAGAUCUGGAGGAAUACCGAUGGCGAAGGCAGCCAUCUGGCCUAAUACUGACACUGAGGUGCGAAAGCAUGGGGAGCAAACAGGAUUAGAAACCCGUGUAGUCC